rnacentral:rRNA from 1 species
AGAGUUUGAUCAUGGCUCAGGACGAACGCUGGCGGCGCGCCUAACACAUGCAAGUCGAACGGAAUGCGGAGAGGAUUUAUCUUUUCUGUGUUUAGUGGCGAACGGGUGAGUAACGCGUGAGGAACCUGCCUCAAAGAGGGGGACAACAGUUGGAAACGACUGCUAAUACCGCAUAACGUGUCGAGGAGGCAUCUCCUUGACACCAAAGAUUUAUCGCUGAAAGAUGGGCUCGCGUCUGAUUAGCUAGUUGGUGGGGUAACGGCCUACCAAGGCGACGAUCAGUAGCCGG